rnacentral:rRNA from 1 species
UACGUAGGGGGCUAGCGUUGUCCGGAAUCAUUGGGCGUAAAGAGCGUGUAGGCGGUCCGGUAAGUCCGCUGUGAAAGUCGGGGGCUCAACCCUCGAAUGCCGGUGGAUACUGUCGGGCUAGAGUGCGGAAGAGGCGAGUGGAAUUCCUGGUGUAGCGGUGAAAUGACGCAGAUAUCAGGAGGAACACCUAUUGCGAAGGCAGCUCGCUGGGACGUAACUGACGCUGAGGAGCGAAAGCGUGGGGAGCGAACAGG